rnacentral:rRNA from 1 species
ACUCCUACGGGAGGCAGCAGUGGGGAAUAUUGGACAAUGGGCGCAAGCCUGAUCCAGCCAUGCCGCGUGAGUGAUGAAGGCCCUAGGGUUGUAAAGCUCUUUCAGCGAGGAGGAUAAUGACGUUACUCGCAGAAGAAGCCCCGGCUAACUUCGUGCCAGCAGCCGCGGUAAUACGAAGGGGCUAGCGUUGUUCGGAAUCACUGGGCGUAAAGCGCACGUAGGCGGACUUUUAAGUCAGGGGUGAAAUCCCGGGGCUCAACCCCGGAACUGCCUUUGAUACUGGAAGUCUUGAGUCCGAGAGAGGUGAGUGGAACUCCGAGUGUAGAGGUGAAAUUCGUAGAUAUUCGGAAGAACACCAGUGGCGAAGGCGGCUCACUGGCUCGGUACUGACGCUGAGGUGCGAAAGCGUGGGAGCAAACAGGAUUAGAUACCCUGGUAGGACAGUC